UACGAAGGGUGCUAGCGUUGUUCGGAAUUACUGGGCGUAAAGGGCGCGUAGGCGGCUUUCCAAGUCAGGGGUGAAAUCCCGGGGCUCAACCCCGGAAUUGCCUUUGAAACUGGAAAGCUAGAGUGUCGGAGGGGAUAGCGGAAUUGCUAAUGUAGAGGUGAAAUUCGUAGAUAUUAGUAGGAACACCGGUGGCGAAGGCGGCUAUCUGGACGACAACUGACGCUGAGGCGCGAAAGCAUGGGGAUCAAACAGG
rnacentral:rRNA from 1 species